GAUUAUCUUACAUUUAACUCAAAUGUGCUGUACUAAGUUGCACCUUUUCUAUCUUGCAGGUAGACUCUUUCAAGGAGCGGAUCACAGGUGAAGCUGAGGAUCUAGUGGCACAUUUUUUUCCAAAUAAGCUUUUAGAACUUGAUGAAUUCCUUAAGGAUCCCAUUUUGAACAUUCAUGAUCUCACACAAAUCCAUUCAGAUGUGAACCUUCUCGUUCCAGACCCAAUUCUGCUGACAAACAGUCA